rnacentral:misc_RNA from 1 species
UGAAUUUGGUUCCCGGCAGCAGGUUAAUAGGUAAUAAUAAUAUUCAUUGAAUUAUUACACUGAAAGUUCAACUCUAGAGGAUUUUCUAUGGCUCUACUCAUAUUUUUACUUUUAAAUUUUAACAUAGUAUAUGGCAAUCAUUUUAAUGAAGUACAGAAAAUAAGUAAUUUAUAGCUAAAAUGUUUAUCAGAACUCGCAUAUCCAGUUAAUUUCAGGAAAGAAGGAUACUGACCUAGACUGAAAGACAGAUGAGGAA